rnacentral:tRNA from 1 species
GGAGAGGUGGCUGAGUGGUCGAAAGCGGCAGAUUGCUAAUCUGUUGUACGGUGUUUAGCCGUACCGAGGGUUCGAAUCCCUCUCUCUCCG